UAAAUACUCCCUCCGUUCAGAAAUUUUGUCGGUGAAAUUGAUGUAUCUAGAUGUAUUUUAGUUCAAGAUACAUCCAUUUUCAUUCAUUUAUGCGACAACUAAUUCCAGGUGGAGGGAGUAGAAA
rnacentral:pre_miRNA from 1 species